CCUUAACUGACGCUAAAGCUCGAAGGUGCGGGUAUCGAACAGGAUUAGAUACCCUGGUAGUCCGCACGGUAAACGAUGGAUGCCCGCUGUUGGCGAUACAAUGUCAGCGGCCAAGCGAAAGCGUUAAGCAUCCCACCUGGGGAGUACGCCGGCAACGGUGAAACUCAAAGGAAUUGACGGGGGCCCGCACAAGCGGAGGAACAUGUGGUUUAAUUCGAUGAUACGCGAGGAACCUUACCCGGGCUUGAACUGCAGCUGAACGAUUCAGAGAUGAUGAGGUCCUUCGGGACAGCUGUGGAGGUGCUGCAUGGUUGUCGUCAGCUCGUGCCGUGAGGUGUCGGCUUAAGUGCCAUAACGAGCGCAACCCUUUUCUCUAGUUGCCAUCAGGUUAUGCUGGGCACUCUAGAGACACUGCCGCCGUAAGGUGUGAGGAAGGUGGGGAUGACGUCAAAUCAGCACGGCCCUUACGUCCGGGGCUACACACGUGUUACAAUGGGUGGUACAGAGAGUUGGUUGUUUGCAAGAACGAUCUAAUCCUUAAAGCCAUCCUCAGUUCGGAUUGGGGUCUGCAACCCGACCCCAUGAAGCUGGAUUCGCUAGU
rnacentral:rRNA from 1 species